UAAAUUUAUUGGCACACUAUUUGAAAGAAUAGGUCGCAAAGCUUUGAGUCUAAGGUAAUAAAUCUUAUUACUAGGAUUGUCAGGUUGCAAAU
rfam:Bacillus gaemokensis strain JCM 15801 contig7, whole genome shotgun sequence.